CAUCCAUAACCAUGUCACCCUGCAGUUCAAGGCCGGUUACUCGCUGAAGCUAAGCAGGGCUGAGCCUGGUCAGUACCUGGAUGGGAGACCACAUGGGAAAGAUUGCUGUUUGGAAGU
rfam:Danio rerio chromosome 25, GRCz11 reference primary assembly.